AAUGAACGCUGGCGGCGUGCUUAACACAUGCAAGUCGAACGAGAAAGGGAUUGCUUGCAGUCCCGAGUAGAGUGGCGCACGGGUGAGUAACACGUAGAUAAUCUGCCUUCAAGCCUGGGAUAACUAUUCGAAAGGGUAGCUAAUACCGGAUAAAGUCGAUCUACACAAGUAGAUUGAUGAAAGAUUGCCUCUUCUUGAAAGCAAUUGUUUGGAGAUGAGUUUGCGUACCAUUAGCUUGUUGGUGGGGUAAAGGCCUACCAAGGCAACGAUGGUUAGCUGGUCUGAGAGGAUGAUCAGCCACACUGGAACUGGAACACGGUCCAGACUCCUACGGGAGGCAGCAGUGAGGAAUUUUGCGCAAUGGGGGCAACCCUGACGCAGCAACGCCGCGUGAGUGAAGAAGGCCUUUGGGUCGUAAAGCUCUGUCAA
rnacentral:rRNA from 1 species